AGGAUGAACGCUAGCGGCAGGCUUAAUACAUGCAAGUCGAACGGUAAAUAUGAUAGCAAUAUUGUAUGAGAGUGACGUACGGGUGCGUAACACGUAUGCAACCUACCCUUUACAGAUGGAUAGCUCGGGGAAACUCGAAUUAACCCGUCAUAAGUAUAAUUUAGUGGCAUCAUUGAAUUAUUAAAACUCCGGUGGUAAAGGAUGGGCAUGCGUCUGAUUAGUUAGUUGGCGGGUAAUGGCCCACCAAGACGAUGAUCAGUAGGGGAACUGAGAGGUUGACUCCCCCCGACACUGGCACUGAGAUACGGGCCAGACUCUACGGGAGCAGCAGGUAGGAAUAUUGGACAAGUGGAGUAGGAAGUCUACGGAACCACGCCAUCGCCGGCGUGACAAGGGAAG
rnacentral:rRNA from 1 species